rnacentral:rRNA from 1 species
UCCCAAAGCCAUUUCACCCUCCAGCCCAAGACCAGUUACUCACUGAAGCUAAGCAGGGCUGAGCCUAGCCAGUACCUGGAUGGGAGACAUAGGAAAACUAGGUUGCUGUUGGAA